AUUGAACGCUGGCGGCAUGCCUUACACAUGCAAGUCGAACGGCAGCACGGGAGCAAUCCUGGUGGCGAGUGGCGAACGGGUGAGUAAUGUAUCGGAACGUGCCCAGUCGUGGGGGAUAACGUAGCGAAAGCCACGCUAAUACCGCAUACGAUCUAUGGAUGAAAGCGGGGGAUCGCAAGACCCCGCGCGAUUGGAGCGGCGGAUAUCAGAUUAGGUAGUUGGUGGGGUAAAGGCUCACCAAGCCGACGAUCUGUAGCUGGUCUGAGAGGACGACCAGCCACACUGGGACUGAGACACGGCCCAGACUCCUACGGGAGGCAGCAGUGGGGAAUUUUGGACAAUGGGCACAAGCCUGAUCCAGCAAUGCCGCGUGCAGGAUGAAGGCCUUCGGGUUGUAAACUGCUUUUGUACGGAACGAAACGGCGAGCUCUAAUACAGUUUGCUAAUGACGGUACCGUAAGAAUAAGCACCGGCUAACUACGUGCCAGCAGCCGCCGUAA
rnacentral:rRNA from 1 species